rnacentral:rRNA from 1 species
UAAUACAGAGGUCUCAAGCGUUGUUCGGAUUCAUUGGGCGUAAAGGGUGCGUAGGCGGCGAGGUAAGUCGGAUGUGAAAUCUCAGGGCUCAACCCUGAAACUGCAUUCGAUACUGCCUUGCUCGAGGACUCGAGAGGAGAUUGGAAUUCACGGUGUAGCAGUGAAAUGCGUAGAUAUCGUGAGGAAGACCAGUGGCGAAGGCGGAUCUCUGGAGAGUUCCUGACGCUGAGGCACGAAGGCCAGGGGAGCAAACGGGAUUAGAUACCCCGGUAGUCCUGGCAGUAAACGGUGCACGUUUGGUGUGGGAGGAUUCGACCCCUUCCGUGCCGGAGCUAACGCGUUAAACGUGCCGCCUGGGGAGUACGGUCGCAAGAUUA